GUGUCAGCCGCCGCGGUAAUACGGAGGGUGCAAGCGUUAUCCGGAUUCACUGGGUUUAAAGGGUGCGUAGGCGGGUUUGUAAGUCAGUGGUGAAAUCCCCGAGCUUAACUUGGGAACUGCCAUUGAUACUGCAAGUCUUGAAUUUUCUGGAGGUAAGCGGAAUAUGUCAUGUAGCGGUGAAAUGCUUAGAUAUGACAUAGAACACCCAUUGCGAAGGCAGCUUACUACGGGAAUAUUGACGCUGAGGCACGAAAGCGUGGGGAUCAAACAGGAUUAGAUACCCCCGUAGUCC
rnacentral:rRNA from 1 species